CGUCAAGCACUCUCCUACUCAGCAUGGAGUCCAAUUCAGGGCUCAGUCCCAGGACCCUGAUAUCAUGACCUGAGCCAAAAUCAAGAGUCAGACACUUAAUUGACUGAGCCACCCAGGAGCCCUGCCUCCAUUGCCUUUAAGCUUAGAAAUUCCUCUCCCAAUAUGAUAACCACUCUGUCAUAUAUUUUAUGGUUUGCAUUAUCUUUGCAUUUAACUAAAAAAAAUUCACCUAGGACUAAUUUUGUUAAAUGGUAAAAUAAAAUGAGGAACUAACACUAGAUUCCCCUACAAAUAUUGAGCCAAUUUUUAUCCGGCACUAUUUGCAGAGUAAUUCUUCCUUUUUGCCAUAUAAUGUAAAGCAAAUUGUAUUUUAAAUAUUUUUAUAUAUCUGAAUCUGCUUUUAAGAUAUUGUUCUCUUUCCUGGCCUGACUAUCCUUGCAAGCACAUUGUUUUAAUUAUUGUAGCUUCAUAAUGUUUUCAUAUUCCAUAAGACUAGCUUGCCUCCCCCUACAACAGCCACAGUGAAAUUUCUCUUCUUUUCAAAAAUUUUAACUAUUCCUGUUUAUCCUUUCAGAUGAGCUUUACAAUUGUCUUACCAUAUCUCCUCCCAAGUGAUUAUUGGAAUCACUGUAGAGUGACAAAUUAAUUUCAGAAGAAAUGACACCAUACUAGGUUCUCCACAGACAUAGAACCAAUAGGAUGUACGUGUAUACAGAGAUUUAUGCGAAGGAAUUGGCUCACAAGAUUACGGACACUGACAAGUCUCAAAUCUGCAGGGUGAAAUCUUUGAGACAAUGGAGAUUGGGCUUGGAGCCCAACUGUUUGUUUCCAACCUCCAGCCCUUGGCAGGGACCUGGGUGCAGAGCUUGCUAUACCCUUGGGAGUUGCCCAUCCACAUGACCAUCAGGCCCGUGGAAAGCAGAGACAGAUGUCUGACUGGACUUUGCCAGGGAGCUCUCCAGCUCAAGCACGGUGGUGCAUUGGUCCAGCAGCGUCAGACCUGAGCCGGAAUAAGGAACAAUUAUUUAAAAGUCACUGAAAUGGUUCUCCCAUCCUAAACUUCAGUGAUUACAAUUGUCAUACAGUGUCUUGCUAGAGAGACAUUUUCAUUCGAGAUGAAUAUGUAUAGCCAAGCAGUGCUUUUAAAAAGCAAUUGUCUGAGGCUCUCUGUACUUGAGAUCUCGCUACUAGUUUCUCAUUAAAGUGAUUCAUGACAUUUUUCAAUUAGAUUCCUAUGUAUUUUUAAAAGCCAAUUUGCUUUCUACCUUUCAACAAAAUGAAUGAGUCAGUGUAUCAUGCAGACAGGUAUGGACUUGCAUAAUUCUCAGGUUCAAUGAUCCUUGGAUAGAACAGAGAAAAUGGGCAAGGACUUACAGCAGAAUCCAAGAAAACGUUACUUUUCCAAAAAAGAUAAAUUGGGAAAUAUACAUAAAGAGGUGAAAUACAUUUAACCCAUCCAUUCAGAAUAGACUGGUUAAUUAAGCAAGGCUCUGAAGCCAGACUUCUCAAGUUCAAAUCCUGACUCUACCACCACCUGCCCCCGUAGUCAAGCAAGGUUCUUCCACCUUCCAGGCCUGGGCUUUUUCACAUGCAACAGUGAUCACAGCUGAGUCCUGGGGUCUUUGGGAGGAUUCGAGGGGAUGUGGUCUGUCAGGCUUCGAGUUUAACAAACACUUAAUGAAUGUUGGUUAUCAUUACUCCUAAAAUAAUAUCCCUAAUUCAUCUAGAAUCAGUUUAUUUGUAACUUGUUCAUAAACUUGACCUUGAAGAUGAAUACAAAAGUAAUGACUUCGCGAGCUAUUGAAAAGUAUAGAAUGAUGUUUAUUAUCAUAGGGAAUUAAACACAGUGAAAAGAAAAUAUUUUUUGAAAAUUUUUUUAAUGAUAUUGCCGAAUGUCUUAAACCUAACCUAUAUGUAUAUUGCCUAUUUUCAUUGCUGUCACCAAUAGCUGAUGAGCUAUUGAAUUUUCUUGGUUUUCAGGCACCUACUUGACUUUAUUAAAUAUUUUGUGGUAUGCAUAUGAAAUAUAGAGCCCAUGGACCUAAGACUAUUUCUGUCUACUAGUUUUCUUUCUUCCUAAAAACAGAAAAGAGGGUUGCCUAUGGCCAAAAAAAGAAAAAAUCUUCUGUCUUCCUGUCAGCUCCUUCUGCUCCUAUCUCCAGGAUUCUGAAUUACAUAUUGACAUAAUUUACAUUUUCCCACUCUUAGUUUAAAAAAAUCGAGUUAAGUCAAAAGCUAAAAUGCAUCCCUUUUUAUAGCAGAAAAUUGCUUCUAUUGCUCAAAGCUAAUUUAAAACAAAAUCUAGUCAUCCUGAAAGACAUACGUGUGUAUGUGUGGAUAUAUAUAUAUAUUUUUUUUUAAUUUGGCUUCAGAUCGCUAGUCACUCAUAUUCCCACACAACACCUUUUUUAAAUGUAGUGUUUUCCUUGAAGAAGUGGGAAUAAAUCUUUAUUCUUGUUGCAAAGCAUUGCUCAACCCUGUGUUUAGUGUAGUACAUGGGAUUGGAUAGAUAACUAAUGUAUCUUUGUUGAAAGAAUAAGUGGAUAAUGUGUGAAUGAAUGAAUGAAUGACCGAAUGAAGUAAGGCAUUUCAAGCCUGAAUGGCAAAUAUUGUGUUUGCCUGACUUUUACCUUGUUCCUGUACACAUUUCCUAACCAUGUGUCUGCCUUCUAAUAUUAAAACUAAUAAAUACAAUUACUCACAUA